GUAACUUUUCCUCUGGACAGGUUUUGAGAAAUCUCCCCCAAGAUUUCAAUCUUGUGAAUAUUGACCCGAUGCCUUGGAUUCUCCCAGCUUGCCUGGAAUUGUAGUCUUGCAACAGCUGGAGGCACACUCUUUGGAAAACAGUGCAAAUUUUUGCAUUCCCAAGUGUUGGAAAACCCAUAAGAAAAGGUUCCCAGACUCUCCGUGCCUGGGGCUAGACAUCCACAAAAGGAUCACAAGUUGGGGGCAGCAGGACGGCCUGAUCACAUCAGAGAUGGUUAUCCUGGAUUUCUGGACCCCUGAUAAUAUAAAUAUGAGUGUUCAGUGAAAACAAGAGCGAAUGUGAUACAAGUGAGAUAGCAUCUUGUACGACAGUAAUCCUAGCAGCCUUACAAUCACACAGCACAAUGGGGAGCCACAGGGGUCCGUAAGUUUAAAUAACCCCCCCAUGCAAUCCCCUUUCCUUUACAAUAAUAGUAAUUUGGCAAAACGUCAUGGGACCUGAAGACCAUCACAUCUGGUACCAUAAACAGAUAAUAGAUUAUAUACAUUUCAAACAUGAGAUUUCCUUCAUUGGACUACUUUUUUUUCUCCGUGUGCUUGAAUACCAUAAAAAAAACUCCCGGAGAACUUUGAAAGUCAUUAGAUCUGUCACAAUACUUAAGGUGCCCAUAGACCUUAGACUGAAGUUGGCAGAUCCUACCAAGUCAGUGCUUUAGGUUAACUGUCUAAAGGGUA